rnacentral:rRNA from 1 species
AUUAGCUAGUUGGCGGGGUAACGGCCCACCAAGGCGACGAUGGCUAGGGGACCUGAGAGGGUGAUCCCCCACACUGGCACUGAGAUACGGGCCAGACUCCUACGGGAGGCAGCAGUAGGGAAUAUUGGGCAAUGGACGAGAGUCUGACCCAGCCAUGCCGCGUGCCGGAUGAAGGCCUUCUGGGUUGUAAACGGCUUUUCUCAGGGAAGAAAAAGACCAUGCGUGGUACACUGACGGUACCUGAGGAAUAAGCACCGGCUAACUCCGUGCCAGCAGCCGCGGUAAUACGGAGGGUGCAAGCGUUGUCCGGAUUUAUUGGGUUUAAAGGGUGCGUAGGCGGCUUGUUAAGUCCGGGGUGAAAGCCCACAGCUCAACUGUGGAACUGNCCCUGGAUACUGGCAAGCUUGAGUCCAGACGAGGUUGCGGAAUGGAAGGUGUAGCG